rnacentral:lncRNA from 1 species
AUGACCACCUGGCCCACUGAGAGCACAGCCUGGCUCGCCGCCCCCAGACCAGGAGCUGGCGGUGACAGGAGCCCUGCAGGCCUGACCUCGGGGCCACCGCGCAGGGAGGGCCUCUGGCUCCUGCCCCCCCCAGUGCUUGCCCCGAGGGUCGUGCCCCGUCUCACCUUGACGUUGGGACGCGGGACAAACGGGGAGCGCUGGGACGGCAAAGGGGCCGGUCUGGCUGCCGUGACGCCGGUGGUCUCCAGUUUUCAGGAAGAUCCAGACUUGCACACAGCAGUGAGCGUGUUCCGGGGGGUCGGGGUGGGGCAGCCGGGGGUUCAGCGCAGGCGGCCAGGGAGCAGAGUGCAGGAGAGGCCAGCCCGCGGGGCUCCGGGAGCCCCCUCCGGACCUCAGGGGCCGGGGGCCAGCACAGGUCUCCGAGCCUGGAUCUCAGCAGGCCCAACGACACCCACACUGAGGCACGGAAGCCACGGACUCGACGGGCCAGCCCACGGGGGCCCAGCAGACCUCCCACAGCUGUCACCCCCACCACGCUGCUGCAGGUGCCCUUCCCCCCGAAGCCAGCCUGGUGGAAAUGAAAACUUGAACUUCCAUCCUGUCUGCAGCUUCUCCCACCCCAGCCCAGGCCGGACCCCUACGUCCUCCCACCAGCCCGGGGAGCAGGAGAGAGUGGGCUUGCCCCGGCCGCACCCCUCCUCUGCGCUCUCCCCCGCCUGUCCCCGCUCUGCGAGCCUGGUUCUCAGGCUGUUGUUGAACCUGGCUCUGGCGCCUUCCUCCCAACGCCUGUCCCCGAGCCCGCCCCUGCGCCCCUGCAGGCGGCCACCCAGGCCUCAGCUCCGUCCCCGGCUCCAUCCGUCCCCUCUCCCUGCCUUCCCUUUGGCAGGAGCCGCCACACUGGCUCAGAGGCCGCCCUGCCAGCAGCUUCGGCUCAUCCCUGAGCGGGGAUUUGCAGGUGGUGCUGCAGGUGGCACGUGGGCGGGACUGAGCGCGGCCCACACAGGCCAAAUGCCACGGGCAGGGGCACCACCGAGGCCAGGGGAGACCAGGAGAGCCAGAUGGGACAGCUGCCCACACCGGUGCCCGGCGGCCCACCCUGCCCCCACCGCGCCUGGCCCCAGUCUUGGGACAUGGGAGGAAGAACCCCGGAAUUGCUGGUUUAAACCACUGGGUGGACCUGGGAAACAUUUUUUUUUAUUUCUGUCGUCGGGCUAG